rnacentral:rRNA from 1 species
AGCUGCUACGGCAGUGAAGUCAUUGAUGCCAUGCUUCCAGGAAAAGCCUCUAAGCUUCAGAUAGUCAGGAAUCGUACCCCAAACCGACACAGGUGGUCGGGUAGAGAAUACCAAGGCGCUUGAGAGAACUCGGGUGAAGGAACUAGGCAAAAUGGUACCGUAACUUCGGGAGAAGGUACGCUCUUGAUGGUGAAGUCCCUCGCGGAUGGAGCUGACGAGAGUCGCAGAUACCAGGUGGCUGCAACUGUUUAUUAAAAACACAGCACUGUGCAAAAUCGCAAGAUGACGUAUACGGUGUGACGCCUGCCCGGUGCCGGAAGGUUAAUUGAUGGGGUUAGCGCAAGCGAAGCUCUUGAUCGAAGCCCCGGUAAACGGCGGCCGUAACUAUAACGGUCCUAAGGUAGCGAAAUUCCUUGUCGGGUAAGUUCCGACCUGCACGAAUGGCGUAAUGAUGGCCACGCUGUCUCCACCCGAGACUCAGUGAAAUUGAAAUCGCUGUGAAGAUGCAGUGUACCCGCGGCUAGACGGAAAGACCCCGUGAACCUUUACUACAGCUUGGCACUGAACAUUGAACCUACAUGUGUAGGAUAGGUGGGAGGCUAUGAAGACGUGACGCCAGUUGCGUUGGAGCCGUCCUUGAAAUACCACCCUUGUAUGUUUGAUGUUCUAACGUUGGCCCCUAAUCGGGGUUGCGGACAGUGCCUGGUGGGUAGUUUGACUGGGGCGGUCUCCUCCCAAAGAGUAACGGAGGAGCACGAAGGUGGGCUAAUCACGGUUGGACAUCGUGAGGUUAGUGCAAUGGCAUAAGCCCGCUUAACUGCGAGAAUGACGGUUCGAGCAGGUGCGAAAGCAGGUCAUAGUGAUCCGGUGGUUCUGUAUGGAAGGGCCAUCGCUCAACGGAUAAAAGGUACUCCGGGGAUAACAGGCUGAUACCGCCCAAGAGUUCAUAUCGACGGCGGUGUUUGGCACCUCGAUGUCGGCUCAUCACAUCCUGGGGCUGAAGUCGGUCCCAAGGGUAUGGCUGUUCGCCAUUUAAAGUGGUACGCGAGCUGGGUUUAGAACGUCGUGAGACAGUUCGGUCCCUAUCUGCCGUGGGCGUUGGAAGAUUGAAGGGGGCUGCUCCUAGUACGAGAGGACCGGAGUGGACGAACCUCUGGUGUUCGGGUUGUGUCGCCAGACGCAUUGCCCGGUAGCUAAGUUCGGAAUUGAUAAGCGC